rnacentral:rRNA from 1 species
UCUGGCUCAGAUUGAACGCUGCGGCAUGCCUUACACAUGCAAGUCGAACGGCAGCACGGGAGCAAUCCUGGUGGCGAGUGGCGAACGGGUGAGUAAUAUAUCGGAACGUGCCCAGUCGUGGGGGAUAACGUAGCGAAAGCUACGCUAAUACCGCAUACGAUCUAUGGAUGAAAGCGGGGGAUCGCAAGACCUCGCGCGAUUGGAGCGGCCGAUAUCAGAUUAGGUAGUUGGUGGGGUAAAAGCCUACCAAGCCUUCGAUCUGUAGCUGGUCUGAGAGGACGACCAGCCACACUGGAACUGAGACACGGUCCAGACUCCUACGGGAGGCAGCAGUGGGGAAUUUUGGACAAUGGGCGCAAGCCUGAUCCAGCAAUGCCGCGUGCAGGAUGAAGGCCUUCGGGUUGUAAACUGCUUUUGUACGGAACGAAACGGCUCUUUCUAAUAAAGGGAGCUAAUGACGGUACCGUAAGAAUAAGCACCGGCUAACUACGUG